UCCUACGGGAGGCAGCAGUGGGGAAUAUUGGGCAAUGGGGGAAACCCUGACCCAGCAACGCCGCGCGAAGGAAGAAGGCUUUCGGGUUGUAAACUUCUUUUACCAGGGACGAAGACGUGACGGUACCUGGAGAAAAAGCCACGGCUAACUACGUGCCAGCAGCCGCGGUAAU
rnacentral:rRNA from 1 species